CGCUGCUGCAGCCGUGUAAUGGGCCUCAAACAACAGUGAUAAAUCAGGGCAAGGAGCCAGUAUGCAACAGCUAGUUUAUGCAGCUGACAAAAGCUUCAAUUUGCAGACAGGCUAUGCCACUCCUGAAGCAGCAUACUGAAGGAAGCGGCAGCGUGUUUGUUUUGAGGGAGCUGUGCCCUCUGAGCCACCACUCCAGUGGGAACCUCGGCAGCUCCGGCGUCCCGCCAGUCAUUUCCUCCCAGUAUCCGGUCUCCAUGAGAGUGAGGGCAAACACUGUCAGGAAUCACUGCUCAGGGUGUACCAGUUGAGACGUGAAUCAGACUGCUAGCCCCAGUGGAGUGUGACAUGAUUAAAACUGACCAUUCGACACCCAGCGUCCCUGUUUCCCACUAUCAGCUAUCACCAUGAAUGGGUCAACACAUUUCGUAUAAGAUCAUCUGAAAGCACCCAUUUGGAAAUGAAAGUAGACUUGAAGGUUUCUGUUCAUUGGACUGUUUUUGCAGCUACGAUAUUUUCACUUCAAACACCUUGAAGGCUUUGCCCCCUGGCAACCUGCCAUAUGAAGAGGGAGAGAGUGAACAUUGACAUGAUAUGCCACAGGACUCAGACGGCAGACCCAUUCUCGUAUCUUUUGUGUCCUUUUGUCUUUGACACUGUCCAGUUAUUGGAGUUACUGGAGCAGUCUGGAAUUGUUAAACAUGUCAAGGAGGAUUAAGAGACGACUGGCAGAAGAAAUUAGAGAAGUCCUUGGCUCGUUCUGGAAGAAAUAAUGUCUCAUCAUGGCCCUUAAUGAUCUCAUAUCUUCCUGGAAGGAGGCGAUAUUGCGAGGGUGGGAGGCUCUCGGAACUCUGUAGCAGAUUUCGCUUUAAAAUUCCCAGCCUUCUAAACAGACACAAACAUGUCACAACGAGAACUGACAAGCAGGGAGCCUUCCCAUGGGGCCGUAUGCAAACGAACACGCCGCAACUUUGCCGCGAUGGAAGUCAAAUCACCUGCUGUGUUCCGCAGACACGAGGACACCACAGCGCAGCUGCCGCGCUGCCAUUUAGCUCACUGUAGCUCGCUCCAUGCGCUCGCUCACACUGGGUUUAUCAAUUCGAGCGGCGAGUCAUUAGGCAGGAAGGCCGUGGGUCAGGUGAACUGCGGAACGUCCUGUUCGCCAAGUGGCCCCUCGGCCUGUGGCCGCUGUCAGAGCCAAGGAGUGUGAGUCAGUGCCCUCACGGUUCAGAUGAGGCUGUGAUCCGUGAGGAAGAAGCAGCCCCUGCCACCUCUUCCUUCUGACCAGCAUGUGAGUGGCGAGCAAGCAGAAGUAAACAAGCGUUAUCAGGACACCAUGUAUUCUAGACAUGCAAAGAACAUUGUUGACUACAUACAUACAGAGUUCUGUUAUUGUGGGCUGCUCUGUCUCCUUUGUCUGUAGUGUUUUAUUUGACUUUAUUUAUUUGACUUUAUUUGGAUUAUGUAGAGCAGUAGGUGUAUUUGUCAAAAUGUCAACAAUUCAAGGCUUUAAUACUUUACAUCCUGAUACGAUUUGUCUGGAUGGUGAAAAUCCAGAUGUAACCUUUCUCAAUAGCAUUAACUGGGCAACUGAGUAAAAACAAAUACCUAUCAAAGUGUGCCAUGCCUUGUAGCAGUUUUAAGAUAAACUAGUGCAGUGCCUGUACAAAACGUGUCCAUUCCUGUGGAAAACCCAUAGCCCAAUGACAUGCUCGAUAAACACAAUUUUGUGGAAAGAUUCAUGAGUGUGAAACCAUACUUAAAGUUGGGACGAUGCAGUUGGAAUCAUUGCUUGUUUAUAGUCCAAACUAUUGAAAGUGUGAUUGGUGUGCUUGGAGGGGCAAUUUACGAAUUUGGUCAUUUUCUAUGUCAAUUUGAACAGACAUGAAUAAUACCCAACCUAAAACUCUUCACUGCAGUGUCCAGCUUCAUCAAAGCCUUCCUCUUGGUGCCUUUGUCUUUGUAAAUUGUUCGACAAAGUACGUCCACAC